rnacentral:rRNA from 1 species
GCUCGAGUGGCGAACGGGUGAGUAACACGUGAGUAACCUGCCCUUGACUCUGGGAUAACUUCAGGAAACUGGGGCUAAUACCGGAUAGGAGCUCCUGCUGCAUGGUGGGGGUUGGAAAGUUUCGGCGGUUGGGGAUGGACUCGCGGCUUAUCAGCUCGUUGGUGGGGUAGUGGCUUACCAAGGCUUUGACGGGUAGCCGGCCUGAGAGGGUGACCGGCCACAUUGGGACUGAGAUACGGCCCAG